rnacentral:rRNA from 1 species
CUACGGGAGGCAGCAGUGGGGAAUAUUGCACAAUGGGGGAAACCCUGAUGCAGCGACGCCGCGUGAAGGAUGAAGGUUUUCGGAUCGUAAACUUCUAUCAGCAGGGAAGAUAGUGACUGUACCUGACUAAGAAGCCCCGGCUAACUACGUGCCAGCAGCCGCGGUAAUACGUAGGGGGCAAGCGUUAUCCGGAAUUACUGGGUGUAAAGGGUGCGUAGGCGGUUCUUUAAGUCAGAUGUGAAAGCCCGAGGCUCAACCUCGGGACUGCAUUUGAAACUGGGGAACUAGAAUACAGGAGAGGUAAGUGGAAUUCCUAGUGUAGCGGUGAAAUGCGUAGAUAUUAGGAGGAACACCAGUGGCGAAGGCGACUUACUGGACUGUUAUUGACGCUGAGGCACGAAAGCGUGGGGAGCGAACAGGAUUAGAUACCCUGGUAGUCCACKCHRURACGAUGAAUACUAGGUGUCGGGGGUCGAACCUCGGUGCCGCAGCUAACGCA